rnacentral:rRNA from 1 species
UAGCCGUAAACGAUACUCGCUAGGUGUCGGCCACGGUGCGACCGUUGUCGGUGCCGUAGGGAAGCCGUGAAGCGAGCCACCUGGGAAGUACGGCCGCAAGGCUGAAACUUAAAGGAAUUGGGCGGGGGGAGGCACCACAACGGGUGGAGCUUGCGGUUUAAUUGGAUUCAACGCCGGAAAUCUUACCGGGACCGACAGCAACAUGAAGGCCAGGCUGAAGACUUUGCCGGAUUAGCUGAGAGGAGGUGCAUGGCGUAGUCGUG